GGACAGAGCAAAAAAAACAAGGCAUCAGUAUUGUUGAGUAUUAGCUUGUACCUGGUUCGGAGGCUAAUCGAAGGCGAGGCGUUGUUUGGGGACAGAUCGCGGCCGGCUGGGGCCUCGGGCAGUGACAGUGAAACGAAUUCCAAACCCAUUCUGAACUCGCCAUGGCGCUCUCCUGCCCUCCAACACCCACCCCAAACACCGUCAGGUUUGCCGGAGAAGGCAGGGGUGAGCCACGGUGGCUGCCCGGCUGUGCACCGGCGCCGGAGUUUGGACCAAGACAAAGACAGGAGCUGUCCGCGGUGCUGAAUCGGCGGCGCCGUCGCCGGAGCAAGGGGGCUUCUGUAACCAGCCCUCUGCUCAUUUACUCCCCAUCCUUCUAGCUCCCCUUCGCUCUGUGACUCUUGCCUUCCCCUGAAUUUAUUUCCCUUUUGGGGGACUCACCUUAGAACCUGCGCCCUGUACACAGGUGUAUAUACAUAUAUCAAAGAACAAAACGAUUGAUU
rnacentral:lncRNA from 1 species